CACUACCUAGUCCGACGGUACCAUCACCCGACCCUUCGGGCUCUGGGCGGUGCCACCGCCCGACCCUUACGGGUCACUGGUUGGGCUUCAAGUCCGGCCUAAACCAAGUCACAUUCGGGCCCAGUUAGCCCCUAACCAGGAUAUAGGAUUAUCCCUUAAUCCUAACCCAAAUUAUAUGCAUACUACGCAACUGAAAACGGC
rnacentral:lncRNA from 1 species